rnacentral:rRNA from 1 species
GACGAACGCUGGCGGCGUGCUUAACACAUGCAAGUCGAACGCUGAAGACCUGGCUUUUGUUGGGUUGGAUGAGUGGCGAACGGGUGAGUAACACGUGAGUAACCUGCCCUCUUCUUUGGGAUAACGCCCGGAAACGGGUGCUAAUACUGGAUAUUCACUGGCCUUCGCAUGGGGGUUGGUGGAAAGGUUUGUUCUGGUGGGGGAUGGGCUCGCGGCCUAUCAGCUUGUUGGUGGGGUGAUGGCCUACCAAGGCUUUGACGGGUAGCCGGCCUGAGAGGGUGACCGGUCACAUUGGGACUGAGAUACGGCCCAGACUCCGACGGGAGGCAGCAGUGGGGAAUAUUGCACAAUGGGCGAAAGCCUGAUGCAGCGACGCCGCGUGAGGGAUGGAGGCCUUCGGGUUGUAAACCUCUUUCGCGCAUGGUCAAGCCGCAACUGUGGGUUGUGGUGAGGGUAGUGGGUAAAGAAGCGCCGGCUAACUACGUG